UCUUUCCACAGCUUCUUUGCUUUAUUCUAUGACAUACCAAAGACAUGCAAGUAUACAUGAUACAAUAGCUUUUAAUUUCAUCACUCUUCAGGAGGAAUGAAGCAUUAUUUCAAUAAGCUGUAAGGGUACCAACAAAUUUGAGAAAAAUCAAGUUGAUUUUACUUGAUUAUGUUGUGUUGUAUGAACUUUUAGGAGGAUUCAAGAGUUAAACUAAACAAUUUAAGUACACUGUACUUUAGAGCAUUGAGUGAGUCGUACUAAAGGUGCCUGUUUACCAAUAUCAUGGUGCCAAGCUGUUAUUAAAAAUAAUACAUUCCAUAGUGAAUACAACUAAAAUAUGUAAUAAAAUAUGUUAUAGGGCUUCUGUAAUUAAGUUCCAGCAUAGAACGAAACGUAAUAUGCAUUUAUGUAUUGUACUGUUUUUGUAACUGUCUUUCUGCUGCAUCGCUGCCGGCGGCUUGUUUGUAUCAGUGCGCUUACCACUUCGCUCUAAUAUUAGUGUAUUUUAUUAUCGUUAAUUAUUAUUGUCGUUGCUAACUUAUCCUGAUAUCUCAAUAACCCUGUUCCUGUUAUUUACUUGGAAGAGUCUAAACCAAAAGUGAUAGUUAACUUAACGCCGUUAGCAUAGCAAUAGCGUGUUAGCUUGCUUUCUGUUCACGCUGUGGAAUAUCAUCUUGCCUCUGGUUUGUCUUGUGUGCUAACUGUUUCUCUUUUUAAGCGAGUAUACUACGAUCCAUCGAGCAACCUUGGUAAGUUGGAAUUGCACUUCAAAUCCGGUUACCACAGCAAGCAGGAUGCAGUUCAUGGCCUGACCUGAUGGUAGAGCGGAGAAUGGGAAGCGGUGACCUGACAGAGCUGAGAUGAUAGAGCUGGAUAAAGAAGGACGCGGUCACCUGACAUGUCUUCACCACAAAAUUUCAAAUGCUAUUAGAUUAUUAAUGAUAAUCUUAAACUAUAAUUUAUUUUAUUAGUAAGUUUAUUUAUUUUAUUUAGCCUUGUUGUGCAAGCUCUCUGGAGCUUGUGCAGAGGCAGCAGCUUUUGCCAGAGGGGAACUGGAAUCCCCUGGUUGGGCCUGGGUUCUCCUGAGGUUUUUUUUUCUCGAUUAGAGUUUUGGGUUCCUCGCCACCGUUUGCAUACUGUUUUUGCCUGGCCGGGGUGGCCGCUUUAGAAUUUUAAAGUUUUACUUAAUUAAUAUUGCAUAUAUGAAUUUAUAGUCUGUUAUAUUUGACCUGUGCUUCUCUCUCCUUUAUCUUAAAUGUUUGCUCUCACUGAGCGUGUGUGUGUGUGUGUGUGUGUGCGUACUUGUCUGUGUACGUGUGUGUGUGUGCCUAUGUCUUUGUGUGUUAGUAUGUGUGCAUAUUGUGUGUGUGGAGUGUUUUGUAUGUGGGUAUGUUUGUCUUCUGUGUUUUCAACCUUUUCUUGUUUUUGCAGGUACAACUUUAAUUGUUUUGCUUAUAUUCAAUAUGUCUUAUGUACAGCUGCUUUGUAACAAUGAAAAUUGUAAAAAGCGCUAUAUAAAUAAAGUUGAGUUGAGUAAUUGCUGAUUGUCACUUUUUUAGAUUCUGGCAGAGUUCAGUCUUAUAUCUGGCAAAGACUUAUUCAAGAACUGGACCGUUGACAUCUCCGAGCCAAAGGGGGAGACAUUGAUUCUAAACUUAAAGGAGACAUCAGAUGAAAACCCCACUUUUUCUGUGUUUAAGUGCUAUAAUCGGGUCCCCGGUGCAUCUAGCAACCCAGAAAACGUGAAAAAUAAGAACCCAGUGAGUUUGUUUUCAGUCCUACAUCGUGGUAUAAUGAACGCACUCAGGCUCUAAAGAAAGCGGCCCGAAAAAUGGAGUGCAACUUUAAGAAAACUAAAUUAGAGGUAUUUCGUACAGCAUGGAAGGAUAGUAUUCGAAAAUAUAGGAAAGCCUUCUAGAUCCGCCUACUUUUCAUCACUAAUAGAAGAAAACCAGCACAACCAGUGACGGUUCUAGACUACUGUAACUGGGGGGGCCAGGCAGGGGCCACUUAUGCUUUUAGGGGGCACACUAACAUGUGUCAUGAUUAAUUUUCAGUCAUUUUUCACUGUCAUGUAUUACUGUUUUCUCCAAGUAAACUAAUAAGCUAAUAAAACAAGUUCAGCUCAAAUUAAUGUUCCAUUGUCAUUUAUUUCACAACACAUUGAAUAUAGUAAAUAAAUAACAAUGACAACAAUAAUAACAUUUAGGCACUUUUCUGCAUCUUAAAUGUACAUACAUAAAUGAAAAACUACCCACAAACAAUAUAUCUAAAAAUCAACUUAAGCAGUCAUCUUAACAUGAGUCACAUUAUCAGGUAUUUCCUUUACACAAAGAAAAAAAACAUGAAUUUCAAAAUUUUCACGUGAUAUAUGUGGUUUUGGCACACUUUCAUGUGAAUGCCAUGUUAACUAAAUACUCAUGUAAAUAUCAAUGGGAAUAUACUUGGGAGGUAUUUUACUCAUAAAUUUCUAGGGGUACCAAUAAUUGUGGCCAGGGUGUAAUAGAGAAAAAAAAUUCUCAAUGUGAUAUUCCCCCUACUUCAAAUUGUUUUACUUUAAUAAAAUGUUGGAAUAUUGUAGAUUUUUUAAAUAAAAGAUCAAAAGGAGAAACAAUGCAGAUUUAUUUUUACAGCCUUCUUUGCUCAUAUUUACCAAGGGUGCCAAUAAUGGUGAGCAGGACUGUAUAAGUGCAGAUGGACACAUGGAGUUUAGCUGUUUGAAUGUUAAUACAUUAUGUGCGUUAAUAUGUUUAGCUGCGGCAAGCUGUUUGUUUUGCUAAUGAACAGGGGCAAACACUGGGGUUAGUGUCGUUUUAAAUGUCUCAAAUCAUUCGUGAUUAGGCUGAAAAAUCUAUCACAGCAAACUAGCUCUCACGUUGUGUGUGUAACGUUGAUGUCAAUGACAAGCGCUAAAAUCCAUGUAAUUCCGCUGAGAUCUGCAGUGGGAAUUAGGAUGCGCUGAUUUUUUUGUUGUCGUGAUUCUGCCCAUCUGGUCAUGUCUUUUUUGAUCUUGUAGCAGAAUCACGGCAGGAUCCCUUGUUUUAUGUGAGAACCCAUGAGAUGUUUGUUUUUUUUACUUCCCAUGUGUUUUCUAGUGUCUUGUCUGUGGCCCCGCCCCUCUCGUUUCCUGUAUUGUCUCCCACUUGUGUCUUAUGUUCCUCACCUGCCCUUGCUCGUUAUCCCUUGUUUGUCUUUCCUUUAAAUACCCUCUUGUUUCUUUGUCCUGUUCUCGUGCAUUGUAUGUGGUUGUUCUCGUGUCCCGUGUGCUACGUUCCUUGUUCCUGUGCUACUGAGUUUGCUGAUGUUCCUCGUUUUCUCCCGUGUCUCUUGUUCCUGUUAUCAUUUGUUGUAGUAAGUGUUAGUUUAGUUUUAUCCUUGUCAAAGUUUUUGUGAGUCUAGUGUUUAGUCUAUUUACGCCCAUGUUCUUGUAUAUUAUCCAGUUUGUUUUCUGUUAUCCCCCUCGUGGGUGUUUUGCUUUGUCCCUUUUUGUCUUGUAAAUAAACGUUUCUGUUAACCCCUUCACUGCCAUGCUGUCCUGCAAUUGGGUUCUUCCUCACCAAUCAUGACAUUUGUCUCCUGACGAAUGAUUUGAGACGUUUAAGACGAAACUAACCGCAGAGGAAUUCAGGAAAUAACAUUUAGCUAAUCCAUUGCCAUGGCAGUACUAACACGUGUGUUGUGUUGACACGCCGGACAGAAGGGGGGUGGGGUUCGCAAUAACUCCUUAUCAGUUAAAGAGACAUGCACCAAAACUGUGCAUGUGAGCAUAGCUGUUUUUGACAAGGCAAGAAGGGUUUUGUUUACACAGCCAUUGAGUGUUUUUAAGCAAUAUAUGUUCCAGACAUUUCAUGAAGACCCUAAUAAAUCAUACAAACUUGUUGAAAGUGCUCGUAUGAGGAGACCUUUAAGAAGAUUCUGCAACAGAAUUUCAACAUUCAACAUUGGAAAUAAUGUAAGCUCCACAGACUCCCAAGUUCUUUGCUUUUGCAAGUGUUGUUUGCUCUGUGUUGUGUGUAUGCUAUUAAAUAAUCUUUUUUUAAAUAUUUGUAGACGAACAGCAGAUCUCUCCUUCGAAGAAACUUGUAGUAUUGUAAGUAGUUUUGUCUGUUUUGUUCUGGUAUUAUGGGGCUUUCGCACCGCAGGAACGAUUUCAUAGUUCUGGGACGAUUUGCCGGAAGUACCUUCUUUUUGUUGUUCGCACUGCAGGAACCGGCCGGAAUUAUACUUAGUUCACAAACAAAAGCCCCAUUUACUCGUUCUGGAACUUUGUUCCUGAACUUAUCCGGUCGGAAAGCCCCUUUAGUAAUGCAAAUAGUUCUUGAACCAAAUAUU